rnacentral:lncRNA from 1 species
GAAAAAAUAGUGCUUUAUUACAACAAGUAGCUUUACUGUUUUGUAUUUUUUUCUUUCUCUUUCUACAGCAGAAAGAAGAUGGAAUGGAGCUGUGAACAUGAGCAUAAAGGUACUGUAAAAGAAGUCUGUAGAACACAACCCAGAAAGAAGUACGAUUUCAGAGUUGUACAGCAAUGAAGAUCUUGUCUCCAAAGCUACAGGAACUGGCUAAUGUUUGGCCCUACAUCAGUCUCAUCCACCUGCAAUCACUCCUGAAAGGUAGGAAUCCUCUAUAGAUCCCUGCUCUUGGGAAUCUAAUGCCCUCAAAUGAACAACUCAGCAGCCGACAAGCAAGCUGAUAAAGCAUUCCUCGCAGAUACUUAAUGGGUACAUUCUGUAUCUCCGUCUGUAUCUUUCUGUCUGCCUAUCUUUUUUCCCCCCCCCUUAGCAUGCUUGGAAGAAGGUAGGCAAACAAACAAACCAAAAAAAGCCUGAAAGAACUACCUCUUCCCUUCGUGUCUGUAGCUGCUUUCCCAGAAGUAAUUUCCAUUUAUGGAAAUCACUCUCUCUAUUUCCCAAUUCCUC